UACGAAGGGGGCUAGCGUUGCUCGGAAUCACUGGGCGUAAAGGGUGCGUAGGCGGGUCUUUUAAGUCAGGGGUGAAAUCCUGGAGCUCAACUCCAGAACUGCCUUUGAUACUGAAGAUCUUGAGUUCGGGAGAGGUGAGUGGAACUGCGAGUGUAGAGGUGAAAUUCGUAGAUAUUCGCAAGAACACCAGUGGCGAAGGCGCUCACUGGCCCGAUACUGACGCUGAGGAGCGAAAGCCAGGGGAGCAAAGCGGG
rnacentral:rRNA from 1 species